GCAGGGACUCGGGCAUAACAGAUGCCAGAGGGAUUUGAUCCAGGGAGUUCUGGCCACACAGCCUGCACCACCGAGCGAAAAAGGAGUGUCAUUACCAGGAAUACAAAUUAGAAAUGAAGACAAUCAGCCCAGCUUUGGGAAGUUAGAGGUGGCUGUUGCAGGAUGCAACAAGAGCAGUCUCUGAAGUCUGGGUGUCUUAUAGGACUCCUUUGUGAGAACCACAUUUACAAGGAAGGUUUUAUGAGGGAAAGAGUGUCUGCUUUUCUAUAGUUGCAGAAGAGAGAAUGAUUUUCUCCUUUUUAUGCUGCUGAGAUUUUUAUUUCCAGGAGUUACAACAGCCCAGAGUUUCAAGGCAAAAUCUUGCAAUCACAUUUUUUGGUAUUGAGAGGAGAACAAAGCAGCAGCUCUAAUACGGUAAAAAUGUAACAACAUGGGAAAGAAAUAGGAGUAACAGGAUUACUAAUAAAUAGAAGAUGAUGCAUGCAGCGUUUUGCAUCCCCAAGAUAAAUAAACAAAGUAGGAAAGAAAAGUGCCAACUUCGGUUGUGCUGUGCUAGGAUGCCUGAGAAUCUGGGCCAGUCAUUUGGACUCAAGAAUCUGUCACUUUCAGCUGCAUCUCAUUCAAAGGUUAAUGGUGACAUUAGGUUUUCCCAUAUCUUGGAAUAAUAUCCACAUCUGCCCAAUUGCCUCUUGAAGAGUGGCAUUUGGAAAAUUCUUGACUUCUUGCAAAGCUGAGACGUCUACAAUGGUGACAACUUGCAGUCUUUAAGUUUUAAUUGAGUUUCGCCUCUGCCUUUUGGUGUCGACCCCACAUUUACAAACAUUUUCAGGGACAUUCCUCCUUGCCUCCUGUGUUCCUGUUCCUCAUCCCAUCCUAUGCUUAACUGAGCUGGGGCUGUGUUUAGACGAGAAAACCAGCCCCUCAAACAUGACUUUGGAUGCUUUUGGCCAUACAAAAUGGAUAACUCAAUUCGAAGUGGUUUAAAACACUGACGUGUAUUAUCCUGUGUAGCAGGGAUUCCAAUGAAAGGGCAGUUCCUCGGUUGGUUAAUACAAUGGCUCAGUAAUAACACCAAAGAUCCAGGUUCUUCAUCUUCCUACCCCAGCCUCAGCAGGUUGUCCUCUCAUGGUGACUUCCCUCCCAGUCCAAGAUGGUGGCCAGCCGCAUCCAGAGACACAAAAGGGGAAUUGCUGCUCCUAGUUCUCUUCAAGAUCCAAUAAAAUCUCUCCCAUCAGCCCCCAGCAGACUUCUUCUCACUAGGCAUUGGCCAGAACAAGGUCCCAUGCCCAUUCUUCUUUCCCUUUUCUCCAACUGUCCAAAGAAUACCCAACGGUUUCUGCUCCCAACUCCCAAUUCUCACUCAUCUAGAGAGCUGAUCAGGACCCUAACAGGUGGCUGUGGACCAGAAUCAGGACCAGUGCCUUGCCCACCUUGAUGGGAGCCAUUUAUUGUGCUCUGUGUGAAUGGUGUCCCCUGGUCGUGGAGGUGUGUAUUUUGGGUGAGGACAAUGGUAGGAUAAGGGCUCGUCUAGAUGGGGGUGCAAGACUGGAUCUUUCAUCUCUGGGUUGGGGAGGUGAAGAUCGGAACUCACCCCAUUUACAGUUCCUGAAGAUCACCAGGUAAACACUCCCUCUGGCUGCCACACAGGAAGAGUGGAUUGUUGAUUCACAUUGGCUCCCAGCUGGGCAGGACAGGGACCUUGUCCUGGCUGGGGCUAGGAUUCUUAUCAAGAGUUUCUUCUGGCUGGGCUCCAAAAGGUGAUUAAUGGCUGCUUGGCCUUGGGCCUGUUCCCCAGGUUGCCAUCUGCUCCAGGUUAGUGACAUCCACUGGCCCACUGUGGAUAGUCUUUGGUGGAAUCAGUUCUCCAAAUGUCUGUCAGGAAACUUUUCAGUUUAGAGACCCUCAGGGGCUGAAGGUUUAGGAUGCCCACCAUCUCUACAGAAGGAAGAAGUUUUUGGAAGAGAUGCUUCUGAUGUCCAUAUCCUCUAUGUCCUUGGUAAUACAUACCCUGAUUUUU